AACUGUUAUAGCUGUCACCCUGCCAAUCAUCAGGAUUAAUGUGACUGAUUUGCCGAGCUAAGGAGGUGUCCCCUUCCUCUCCCACGGCUUGUGUGUUCCUCUUUCAAGCUGCACUCGAUGGAAGAGGACAACCUUUCCUAACAAAAGAGGCCCGCUGUUUGGCCAAGGGUAUAUGAGGAUCUACGAGCUCUCAAGGUAAGUGCUCAGCCACUGAGUAAGUUCUAUAGCACCCUAAGUAGUGUGUAAUCAGUAUUUUCUCCAUUUUG
rnacentral:snRNA from 1 species